GAAGAGCAUUGGGCUAGUAUUCCAAAGGUCGUAGGUUCAAAUCCCACCGUGGCCGGGCAUAUUUUUCAAGCUCGCCCGGUGUGGAUAUGCACUCAGAGUAACAUCGCAAACAUAUUAUUCACCUGAGUACACAACACCAACACAGAAAAAAAAAUCAUAUUACAAGAACACAUUGGUAUUGAAGGAACUAGAUACUGUUCCGAAAUAUCACUUACUCGAACCGUCCUGACCGCGUAGCUCAGUUGGAAGAGCAUUGGGCUAGUAUUCCAAAGGUCGUAGGUUCGAAUCCCACCGUGGCCGGGCAUAUUUUUCAAGC